rnacentral:lncRNA from 1 species
AUGAGUAGGGAGGGAACUAGCGUGCUUGCACGUGGGCUUGGUAGGUGGCAGUUACCCUGGCCGUCUCGGAAGUUAUGCCUCUCUGUUCUUGAUGUGCAGCCAAAUGCUGUUUAUUGUAAGGAUGUCUUAGACAUUGGACGGUUCUCCGUGGUGAAGGGCGUCAAUCUGGACACCACAGAUGACAACUUCUACGCUCAGUUUGCAACGGGGUGUGUCUCCAUCCCCUGGCAGAAAGAGAUGAUCGAGUCUGGAUGCUUCAAGGAAAUCAACGACAGUGAAAAUAAGUGUCUGGAGGAGACACUGUGUCCCCCGGCAGCCAGGCCCAAGAGGAACCUCUUCUACAGGUUCUUUGGAAGAAUGGUAAGAAAAUGUUUUUUAAAAAAUAAAUAUGUCAAAAAUGUUUGCUGAAGUAAAAUCAUGCUUUCACCUUUUUCAGGCCUCACAAGUGGUCCUCUUGAGAGCUGGGCCUGUCUUCCUGGGGAGCCCACAGGUGGUACUGUGCAGAUCCACAGGAAGGAGGGGGGUGAUUGGCCAGGGACAGGACUCCAGAGCCAGCAUGGUAUCAGCCUCCCAUGGGGCCACCUAAGCAUGUAGUGCAGUGCUUAGGGUUUCUAAGCUCUGGUUGCUGUGGCUACUGUUCUGUCCCAUCCUGCUUGCACUGGGAGAGCAGGUCCCCUCCUUAUGGUGGUGUCACUUGGAGAAGUCAUGUGAGGGGUGCUGGACUGUAUCCCCAAUCCCUUUUAUUAAUUUUGAGACAGCAUCUCACUUAGUUGCCGAGAUUGGCCUGAAAUGUGGAAUCCUCCAGCCUUGGCCUCCGGUCUGCAUGCUGGGAUUUCAGGCAUGUAUCUUGAUACCCGACUCUGAGGGCACUAAAUUUAGAAAAAGUUUUCUCCUCAUAAAACUUUUCUCCUCAGAUACGUGGAUUAUCCUGCUUUGCAUCUGCUCGUCCCUUCCUGAGGGGCUUAUGCAAAGGUUAUUCACUAGCAUUCCAAUCUGUCAUUUUUCAGGAUUCAACACAGACCCCAAGUGGUAAGCCAUCUCCCAAAGUGGUGGCUGCGUAACCACAUUUCCUCUGAGAACUCGGGCUUGGUCAUGGACUGGCCCAGUGGGCCGCUCCACCUCCCGGAGUGUUGUAAGUCCAGCUUGGACACCCUCCCUGGGUGCUCCCACCAGGAUAAUCUGGAAGGAGCUGCUCCUCCGCCCCACACUCUGGGGAGCAGGGCCUGUGAGCCCAUCCCUUGGUCCACAGUGGUGGCUACAGUGCAGGAAGCCUCUUCUGCUCUUGGCUCUUGAGGGUGACAAGGAGAGAAUAGAGAAGGCCCUUUUUUGCCCUACAGUUAGCCCCUGGGGGUAGUUACCACACCGCAGGCUGUGGUCCUAGGCCUCUGGGUUCCCCUGGGCCCUCGGAGCAAUGGGGCCGUCCUCAUGCAUAUUCAGAUCAUCGGCACUCUGCGUGCAGUUUCCAGUAGGAGUGCUGUGGAAUUACUUGUUACACUGUGUUUUUCAAUUCGUGUUUUUGUGGUUGUAUUGUUUUUAUUCUACCUUUAUAAUAUUAUUUUGCUUCAGUAAUCAAAUAAUUAUUGGGUUGGUUGAAUCUGUGCUUGCAUGCGGAAGCUGCAGUUGAUUCAGAGAGCUGACUGUGUCCUUGAGGGAAGUCAAGGCAGCUCACACUGGGACAUGCUGAGGUGCAGGGUCCUGUGUGUUGCAGGGCUGCCUGAGAACCAACCGCUGAGAGGAGACCCUGUAGGAUGGUGACCGUCACCCUGCAGACCAUGGAGGCCGCCCUGAUGCUGAGGCAGAGUCACAACUGGUAUCCCAUGCUCCCGCUGGUUUAAUAAAUGCAAUCUGUGACAGUGGAA